rnacentral:rRNA from 1 species
GAGAGUUUGAUCAUGGCUCAGAUUGAACGCUGGCGGCAGGCCUAACACAUGCAAGUCGAGCGGUAACAGGACUAGCUUGCUAGUUGCUGACGAGCGGCGGACGGGUGAGUAACGCGUAGGAAUCUACCAAGUAGUGGGGGAUAAGCCAGAGAAAUUUGGUCUAAUACCGCAUACGUUCUUCGGAAGAAAGGAGGGGAUCUUCGGACCUUUCGCUAUUUGAUGAGCCUGCGUGAGAUUAGCUUGUUGGUGAGGUAAGAGCUCACCAAGGCGACGAUCUCUAGCUGGUCUGAGAGGAUGAUCAGCCACACUGGGACUGAGACACGGCCCAGACUCCUACGGGAGGCAGCAGUGGGGAAUAUUGCACAAUGGGCGCAAGCCUGAUGCAGCCAUGCCGCGUGUGUGAAGAAGGCCCUAGGGUUGUAAAGCACUUUCAGCAGUGAGGAAAGGUGUGUGGUUAAUACCCGCAUACUGUGACGUUAACUGCAGAAGAAGCACCGGCUAACUCCGUGCCAGCAGCCG